CCUACGGGAGGCAGCAGUAGGGAAUCUUCCACAAUGGGCGAAAGCCUGAUGGCGCAACGCCGCGUGGGUGAAGAAGGUCUUCGGAUCGUAAAACCCUGUUGUUAGAGAAGAAAGUGCGUGAGAGUAACUGUUCACGUUUCGACGGUAUCUAACCAGAAAGCCACGGCUAACUACGUGCCAGCAGCCGCGGUAAUACGUAGGUGGCAAGCGUUAUCCGGAUUUAUUGGGCGUAAAGGGAACGCUGGCGGUCUUUUAAGUCUGAUGUGAAAGCAUUCGGCUUAACCGGAGUAGUUCAUUGGAAACAGGGAGACUUUAGUGCAGAAGAGGGGAGUGGAACUCCAUGUGUAGCGGUGAAAGGCGUAGAUAUAUGGAAGAACACCAGUGGCGAAAGCGGCUCUCUGGUCUGUAACUGACGCUGAGGUUCGAAAGCGUGGGUAGCAAACAGGAUUAGAUACCCGAGUAGUC
rnacentral:rRNA from 1 species